rnacentral:ncRNA from 1 species
GCCCUCAAAAGCGCAUCAGGUGCCCUGUACGGGAUAAUCGGGAAGUUCGGUGCAAGUCCGACGCUGCCCCCGCAACGGUGAUGGAGAAGACGCUGCACAACGCCACUGGCCAACCGCCGGGAAGGCGCAGCGGAAUGGCUCCUCAGCCCGGAGACCGGCCUGAUGCAAGCACAUCAA